CCUCACUGGCCUGACCACAUCCCUGCUUUCACCUCAAGGUGCUACCAUUAAGAAGACUGUGUCAACAGAGAGCCACAAUGGAACAUCUACAUCAUUCUACCUCCCCAAGCCCAAGGACCAUCACAGAAGAGAGAGCAGAAAGAUUCUAAAAGCAGAGAGAAUGGGAGAAAAACAGUAUCUUCAGGAUGUGACAAGAACACUGUACUCAUGAACUCGUGACAGCUAUGGCUGCUGCACAAGAUGAAGCCAGUCAACAUUCUAGCAUGGAGGAGAGGGAGUUUAUGAGCUAUGGACAACUGAUGCCUUCUGAGUUUUAGGGGAUUGGAAGAGUUGGGGGAAAAGGAUGGAAGAAAGAAGAACCCAUAAAGUAGCAAAGAUAAGCUACACCUGUGUAAUCCAGUACAAGUUUCUAGAAAAACAUGAAAGGGGAGAUGUAGGAUUCAUUACAAGGUAAGCAUGGUGGCUUCUAGUGUCCCUUGUUCAUCAGCAUCUUAGAAUUAAAACAAUCUAAUUUUCCAUCAGGUGAGCAAGCAACACAGGAAGCAGAUGAGUGGUUGUCCAUCUGAAAUUACCGAUCUUGCAGCUGGCUCACUGUUAGGUAUCUAAGUAAAAUGGCUGUGGUUUUUAUUUCUUUAUUAUGUAUAUGAUGUGUGGAGUGUGAAUGUGUGUGUUCAUGUGUGUGAAUGUAUAUAUGUCUGUGGAGUGCAUGUGUGGAGGUCAGAGGACAACCUUGGGUACUAGUUGAUUAGUCUUCAAUGCUCACCUUGUUGAAGACUGUCUUUGCUGUUGAUCACUGUAAAUGCCAGGCUAGCUGGCCUGCAAGAUCCAGAGAAGCUCCUGUCUCUGCCUCCCUUCUCCUCCUAGGAGCACCGAAUGACAGAUAUAUGCUGCUACAUGUGAGUUCUGGAACUCUAUCUCAGACUCUCACAUUUGCACAUCACAUGCUUUAUCCACUGAACCCCAGUCCCUGGGGUUGUUUUUUCAUGCUAAAUAACAUAAUUGUAGGUGUUUUAUAUUAACAGUACGAAUUUGGGGUCAUUCCUUUCUGUCAAGAUAAGGUUAAAAAACCAAAACCCUCACAGAUAACUAUUAUGCAGGAGGCUGUUUCAGGCAAGAGGUCGGGAUGGGACAGCUUAAGAGCAGCAGUGCUAACAGAGCCAGGACUGGAGCUCAGAGAAGAUCUAGGCUGGCAAGUAUCAAAGUGUAGGUCAGCAUCAGCAGCAUUUUCACAGAGCAAAUUCUUCAGGUCCAUAGCAUGUCUUCUGAGUUAGAUGCUCUAAGGUGAGAUCCAAUGAUCCAAAUAUUCAAACCAACAUUUCAGAGAGUGGUGAUGCUUUGAUGAGCAUCCACACAAACACAUGUUUCUUAAAAGAGGCAAGGCUCUGCCCUACCCUCAUGAACUUGGAAACUGUACUGGAGAUGAAGCUGGGGCAUAGACAUUUCUGAGGAGCUCCCAAGAAGUGCUAGUACUGCUGGCCAGGGACCAUUCCUUGAGAAUCCCCACUUUAGUCCAAUUUUUAAAUUGUACACACAAUGAAACAGACUAACAGAAAUCAUAUAAGACACAAGGCUAGGGUUCCACUGCCUCUAACAGCUGGACCUAGAGUGCAGAACUGCCAAUAAGCCCAUGCAGUUAUUAUUACAUGAGUAUUACAUCAGUAGUAGAAAAAGGAGAGUCAGUUUUAGCCGAGGGACCUUGAAGCCUCCAGCUGACAGUAAUUCUGCAUGUCAGGACCAUAUUCUUGGAGACAGUUCUAGAGUUUGGAUAAUAGGAGCACUGUCAUUUUAAAUAGUUUCCCCCUUUCUUUCAUUGUUACCCAGAACUUAUUGCUCUUGAUAUUUACUAUCACUAAUUCCAAUCACUGAUUACAGCACAUUCAUUAGCUAUAACCAUUUAGCUCCAAGCAAUAAAAUUGCCUUUAGCAUCUUAUUCCAAGUGAUGGGGACAAAUCCCCUUUGUGCAUGUAAGCAAGAGCUCUGCCACCAAGCUGGAUCCUCAGCACUUUGUCCUUCGUCUAUGAUGACUAUAUCAAUGAUAUAGUGAAGAAAGUGCCCUGUUACAGCCAGGAUAGGUAGACAAUGGUUAGGAUGUAGGCUGAGUGCAGACAGGACAUUUCCUUUCUGAGAUUUUAGUUGAAGAAGUGGUGAUGAUGGUGACCAAAAUCUUCCAUUAUUUCCUUUACACCUCCCAUCGAAAAGGUGAUGUGUUUACUUUCUCUCAUGUAAUCCUUACAAGCCCAUGAGGCAUUCAAUUUUAUGCUUGCUCACUCAAUGAGAAAGCCAAAGCUGAGCAACAUUAAAAUAACUUCAUCAAAUAAAAAUGUAGUAUGUCCAAGAUCCAAGGUCAGAUCAAGAUCAAAGUUUGUACUUGUCAGAACUAAAGCUUCUACUACAAAUUGCCAUGAUAUAUUAAGUAUUAAGCCUGGUUUUGCAAAGCAGAUCUAAGUGGCAUUAGGAAUGAAGUUCUUUGAGGUGAAGUUGUAGAUUUCCACUCAUUUGUAGUAACAAUACAGUAAGAUCAAGGCAGCUUUUAUCCAGUGUCCUUCAAUGGGAAGAUGCUAGAAUUUACACUAUAUUAGCAUAAAGGGACUGCCACUCAUAUCCCCACAACUUGUUCACAGCUGUCCAGUGUGUUGAAAAUAUUGUCUUAAAAACUUGGCAAGGUUAAUAAAGCCCUUUGAUACUUCUACCCCUUCUAUACCACCAGGUUCUCCCUGUGCUCACUAACAGACUGUUGAAUGAACAUGGGCAAAGGAAAGCAAGCAAUAAAGAUUGGGAAAGAGGGCUUGAUUACUACACAAGAACCACCGAGCAGACAAAGUGUUUUCUUCUAUGGGCAGUGAACUGAGGUAACUGCUCUGAGUGCCAGUAUGACUAGGGCAGAUGAAGCAUUAUGAAGAUAUACAAGUUCUAUGUGUUCUGAAAAAUGUGAUCCUGACUUCUGUCCCACUCACACACUUGGUGGCAUGCUAGGAAGCAGAGUCAUAUAGAAGAAGGCAGCUUCCCUAAGUAUUUUACUAACAGCUAAAAGCAAUCAAAUUCCCCACACUCUUUCAAAGAGUAACCAGUCUCCACAUGUCUUGUCAUGUGGACAUAUCAAGAUUUUAGAUAGCAUCUUUCUUUCUUGAAAUUGUAACUUUCCUUGUAUAUAUUGAGAUAUUCUUUAAUUAUUCUAUAGAUAAAGAGAAAGAAAUGACUUCAUGGAUGCAGAGUAUAAAGCAUGAUGUGACCAAAAUAAAUCUCAGCAUGAAAAUGUCAUUGUUUUUACUGCUUUGGGAAAAAAGCACUAAUUGGCAGGGUAUCUAGUGAGUUAAUGAGAAAGAGGGAUCUCAUCUCAGGUCAAGUCUCAGGUCAAGCUUAGUGCAUAAUGGAAGGAACAAACCACUCCCAAACACAAGUCUGUCCCUGUCCUACACUUCCGCAACCUCUGACCAACACAGUUCCCCUUUUAGAGAGAGUAAGGAACACAUUCUCCAUCAUACAGGCUGUAUACCUAGAAAUUUUAAUUGGUUGGGUGUUCCACGCAUCAUUCAGGAAGGAAGACAGCAGCAGAUGCGUGUGAAACACUUGGGUCCGCUCCCUUCCAAAUUCGUGAAAUAGCAUUGCUGUGUCAAGACUCAUGCCUUUGUGUUCCCUGUGCUAAGUUGCUGACGAUGCCAUGUCUUGCCAUCUGCCCCCAAGCUUCAUUAAAGAUACAUGAAUGGGCUAUGUCUCGCCUGAUAGCUUGUGAGGGACAGGUGCUAUUGUUUGUCCCUGAAGACUUGCACUAAAGAUCUGACUCAGAAUACUUGAGAAAGAGCAUCUGUAGCAGUCAGUCAGAGCAACUUGGCAGAGACCUGGCUGUGUGCUAAUAUGCAAACAGAGUGACACUCAGGGGGCCUCAUUUUCUCUUUCAUGAAGAUGGUUCCACUUUUUUUUAGUGAUAUGCAAUAAGUAUUUGUAUUGAAAAAUCAUGUACAUAUUAAUGUCUGUGCUUGUGUUAAAGACUGGGCAAGUCAGGGUUUUUUUUUAAAUAAUUUAUUUCUAGAAAAUAAUUCCUGGUAUGGUUUAAUUGGAGAAAGUCUUUUGAAAUGUUGGAAAGAAAAUCUCCGUGUGUGUACACUAUGAUGGAAAGAAAGAGGAAGAUUGGGGGUAGACAACAGAUACAGAGAAACAGAGGCAAAACUAGCACACAGACAUACAGAGAGGGGUCAGUUUCCCUAACUGCCACACUUGUCAUUGCUGAGGAUAGCUGUGUCAUCUGUAUAAUGCAUUAUUACUAUAGUAAAAACUGCAGCAUCUAGGAGAAUGAAUAAAAGGACCAAGAAACUUAUAUGAAGAGCUUUAUAGUGCAGACAGGAGUUCCCUGUCUGCCAACAGUACAUAUCAAACUAUACUUGAACAGUUAAUUGAGGGAUUAUGAAGGAGAAGGUCUUAUUUGAUAGUGUAUAUUCUUCCAUCAAUAGAAACUUUUUCAGUGGCAAAUGUUCUGCUAAGUGUGUGAUACGAGGUGACUCUGCUCGGUCCUUUCUUAGGAAGUCCACAUAGAGUCCUCUUGGUUGACCACAGCCCUCAUCUAUUAAGCUCUUCAGUUCACUUGCCAUGUCUUUCUAGGUACAUGCAAAGCCCCCGAGUGACCAGUGCCAUUUAUUUUAAUUUACCCCAUUACUAUCCACAAAGGAAGAAGAACAUAAUGAAUAUUGUAUAAUGACUGACCAGUGGCUCAGAACAAGACCAGCUUUCUGUUGCUGUGGUAGGUGCUGUAACACAAAGGAACCAGGAAGAAUGGGCUCAUCUGGCUUACUCAUCCCCAGCACAGUCCCUCAAUGAGGGAUGGUAGGAUAAGAACUCAAGCAGGAACCUGGAGAAAACAUGUGGCAGAUAAUAGGCUGCAAGGAAGUAAAGAAGAGAGAACGUGAUGCUGGUGUGAGCCAUGAUCUCCUAUGGUGAUCUUGUAAGAAGCAUCGUGGAGAUGAAGGUCCACCCCUUUGAACCCAACUUCUCCUUCAUGCUGAAGCUGAGGUGAGCAGAUCCUCCAAACUGGAUGGAGCCUGCUGUGCCACAGGAAGGAUCUCUACCUACCAUGUAUGUCCCUUACCACAAUUUUAGGCAAUGGAAAAAGUUACUGACAGAAACUAAAUACAAUUCUUAAUUUAAAUUCUUUGUAGAAAAUAAAUAUUCAAAACACUUAAAGAUAACUACAACCUUUUUAUUGGAAAAUUUUAAUAAUAAAGAUCCCAAUGACAGAAUUUAAUAGAUGCAAACUGGCUCAAAUAUUGGUUGAAUAAAACUUUACUUUUUUUUUUUUGGUAAUAAGGGUAAUGUCGUAUUUGCUAAAUAAAAAUAGGCUCUAUAGUAUAAAAUCAGACAUGACAGUCAGUCAUUCACCCCUUGUGCCACCCUGCCGGUAAAAUGACCAGCCAAUAGUGUUGUUUUGUGCAGAUUAGUACUAACUCAAUGCAAUCAGUAACUCAACAGUAGAAUCACAACUAAAGAAACAGAAGCCAAUGGAAAGAUGCUGGUGAUCCACUAGGUAAAGGAAGAACAGAACUCACAUUGGCAACUGAAACUGUUGACAUGCUAGCAUGAUUAUUUGAGCCAAAACCUCUUACUAAGAACUUGUCUGGAUGGGGUGAAAACAUAUGAAGGUGCUUGGGAGAAAUGGGUAUGAGGAUUGCCACAGGACAAGGCUUGUGCAUAAUAAGGCUCUGUCUAAAGAAGAAAAAAAGAACAAAACGAGCUAAGUGUGGCGCACGUCUAUAAUUCUAGUAGUUCUGAGGCAGAAACAGGAUAGCCUACAAGUCUAAGGCCAACCCAGUUUACACAGCAAGUUCUAAGGCAGUCAGGGCUACACAAAAGACUUCAUUUC
rnacentral:sRNA from 1 species